AUCACUUGUUCUUUAAAUGAGGACUAGUAUCAACGGCAUCACGAGGGUUAAACUGUCUCCUUUCUCCAAUCAAUGAAACUGAUCUUCCCGUGAAGAAGCGGGAAUUUUUUUAUAAGACGAGAAGACCCCAUGGAGCUUUAAACCCAGUUACAUCUCUAUUUUUUAUUCCAUUUUAACCUCUAGAGCCCUGUACACCUGGUUUUAGGUUGGGGUGACCGCGGAGCAUAAAUUAGCCUCCACAAUGAACGGGAAUUACUCCCUUACCUAAGAACUACACCUCUAAGAAUUAGUAUUCUAACAUAAAGUGAUCCGACUAUUCGAUCAACGAACCAAGUUACCCUGGGGAUAACAGCGCAAUCCACUUCAAGAGCUCCUAUCGACAAGUGGGUUUACGACCUCGAUGUUGGAUCAGGGUGUCCCAGUGGUGCAGCAGCUACUAAAGGUUCGUUUGUUCAACGAUUAAA
rnacentral:rRNA from 1 species